rnacentral:rRNA from 1 species
GAUGAACGCUGGCGGCGUGCCUAAUACAUGCAAGUCGAGCGAACGGACGAGAAGCUUGCUUCUCUGAUGUUAGCGGCGGACGGGUGAGUAACACGUGGAUAACCUACUUAUAAGACUGGGAUAACUUCGGGAAACCGGAGCUAAUACCGGAUAAUAUUUUGAACCGCAUGGUUCAAAAGUGAAAGACGGUCUUGCUGUCACUUAUAGAUGGAUCCGCGCUGCAUUAGCUAGUUGGUAAGGUAACGGCUUACCAAGGCAACGAUGCAUAGCCGACCUGAGAGGGUGAUCGGCCACACUGGAACUGAGCCACGGUCCAGACUCCUACGGGAGGCAGCAGUAGGGACUCUUCCGCAAUGGGCGAAAGCCUGACGGAGCAACGCCGCGUGAGUGAUGAAGGUCUUCGGAUCGUAAAACUCUGUUAUUAGGGAAGAACAUAUGUGUAAGUAACUGUGCACAUCUUGACGGUACCUAAUCAGAAAGCCACGGCUAACUACGUG